ensembl:lncRNA
AGUAUCUGCUGAGUCUGCGGGUGUCUGCAAGGCCCCAAGUGUCAUCUGCGGCUUAGGGUUUCAUGGAUUAGAUUUUAAACGGUGUCUGGCCCAGUUGACAUCAGCCUCCUCGCACGCUCAGGCUCCAAAGAAUCGCGGGCUUGGGAGCUCCCUCUCCAAGCAGCUGCAGCUGCCCCAAAGCACCCCCUCGCUAGCAGAGUGGGAGUCCUCUCCCACCUCUGGAGAAAGGUUCCCCGAGGCUUCCGGGAGCGACUCGGAUGGAUGCGUUCCAGCCUCUGGCGUGAGCGUCAUGUGAUGACCACACUCGGUCGUUCAGGGCGCGAGUGGGGGCGGCGGCCAGUCUGGGAAGGCCCUUCCCGCGCGGCCGACAGCCAGGGCGAGAGCGGAGGCCGCGCACAGCCAUUUAAAACUGCAUGAAUUAUAAACAAGCCGCCUUGGCCUUCGCCAUAAAUUCUGCUCUUUUUGAGCCUGCAAUUAGUGUUAGGAAGCACCGGAGUCUAAACACAACCAAACACCCUCUGAAGGGCCCAAGUGCCCGAGGUUGCAAAGCUUUAUUUAUUUCUCAUUGCCACCCCCUCCGCGGCCCGAGGUUUGCGACCACAGUCUCCUCCUCCCCCGUCACCGCCGGCGGUACGCAGCCGGCUGGGUUCCCGCUCCGCGAGGGAAGGUCACAAUAGCUGCUCUAUCGGCGGAGGCGCCCGCCUCCCCCCUCUCGGGUCUCGGGAAGGCAGAGAAAGGACGGUGGGGGAGGGGAGCUCGGGCCGGCAAUGGCGCCCCAGGCCCAGGCAGCUCCUUCUCCCGCGGAGGACCUGCAGCGGGAAGAGGCACGUCUGCAGCGGAAGGACACCGCCACUCCAGACCGAGGCUUCUUCCCGGGAGCGGCGCGCGGGCUCCGUGGGGAGCUCACCACGGUCUCGAGGAGGCUGCUCGCUGGCCCCUAGCCGCCGCGCGCUGCUGGAUCGAGGGCGCCCGCAGCAGCGGACCUUCCGGGAGCAGCGGCGCCAUUGUGAGCGCGGCUUCCCACGGGCCCCGCGGCCGGGAAGCCGCACAAAGGCGGCAAGGCGUCCGACACCCGCAGGCCAGACCCAGCGUUCUGAAGCACUGUAAACAAAAGGUUUCCACACACGAAGAACCAAGGUUAAUGGAUGUCCAGUCAUUUGCAGUAGCAGAAGCAGGUGAAGGGUUCCCAGAAGAUCAGCAUGGUGGGAGAUAUUACAGAAGUCUUCUUGUCCCAGAUCUUGUGGUAAAAUCUCUUCUUCCUGCUCAUCGCUCAGUCAUGACUCUGCUACUCUAUGGACUGUAGCCUCGCAGACUCCUCUGUCCAUGGGAUUUCCCAGGCAAGAAUAUUGGAGUGGGUUGCCAUUUCCUCCUCCAGGGCAACGAUGCCAUCUCCGUCGCCGGCAAAAACACACAAAGGAGGCCCCCACCCAGGCUCGAACCUGGGGGCACACUGGAGAGAGGGCUGGCGUGGACCCCGAGUCGGAGAGCCUCCCACCCCCACGGGGAGCAAUAGCUGCCGCCUCCCCGGGGCAGUGGGGCGGUCGCGCCGCACAAAGGCCGGCUCGGCUAGCGCCAUGUGACGCGCGCUCGACCCGCUCUCCCGGCGGCGCGGCGGACGGGUGCGUGUUCCGACCCACCUGAACACUUUCCGAAAGACAAACGCGGUUCCUCCUACUUCGGAGCAAGUCCGGGCCAGCUGGGAUCCGACCAGAAACCGCAAGCGGAGGAGACGCGGGUACGCAGGCUGAGGGUAACGGAGGGCGCGACCUGCCGCCCCGCGCUCUGCCGCGCCAGGCCCGAGGGUAGCGCCUCCCGGUCCUCCCCGCGCCAGGGACGGCAGCCGCCCAGCAGCCCCGCCCGUGGGCCAGGCAGGGCGCCGGGUGCCCGGAGCGUCCCGGCCCCACCUCCACGCCCCACCUCCGCGCACUUCCCGCUUGCCCCAGUGACACCCUUCACCGCUGCUGUCCCCCCAGUAAGGGACAAACCCGUCUCUGAGGGCAGGACGAGAGAAAACCUCAAUAGGUGGAAAGGUUCUUGCAAAUACUUUUAUUUAAGAGUUUUAUAAAGGAUGUCCCAAAGGAUCAGAAUUCAGGGGAGACGCUGAACGAGUUCUCUCAUUGACCUUCAGGACUAUUUCCUAUUUGUAUGGGAGGAAAGAGGUUAAUAACCCCUGUUGAACUUGGAACUAAACUUGAAUGCAAUUUAAAAUAACCAUUAAAAUACACUUAAAACACUAACC